GUCAGAGAGGCAAGCGAAAGAGUGUAGGGAUAAUUUUUAUUUUUGACGUUUUAUUCAAUUUCGAUCAUUUUAUUAUUUUGACGUUUUAUUCAAUUUCGAUCAUAAACGUCUGUUGUGUAGAUCAAGGAGCCGGAGGAAGUGAGAAAGUGUGUUGUCAGAGAGGCAAGCGAAAGAGUGUAGGGAUAAUUUUUAUUUUUGACGUUUU
rnacentral:ribozyme from 1 species